UACAUUUGAGUGAUGGGGCUCCAAUAUCAAAAUAGGAACACAACCAAUUAUGAUCAUUGGAGCAAAAGAAAACCCAUCCUUUUCUAUCCUUGGAGCGAGUUCCAAACAUUUAUCUCAAGGCGAUAGGCUGAAAAUAGCAUGAUGAUAUACAUAAAUAAGCACCAAGAUCCAAAUUAUCAUGUUAGAUGGAAUUCAUUUGCAACAAAAAUAAAUUACACAUGACAAUUGAUAAGAUACAUUAAGGAAAUUAAAAUAAAGAAUGGCAAUUUUGUGGUUUAAGAUCUCAAACGUGAUGAAUUCCUUUUUAUAGAUAUUGGACUAUCAUGAACACAAAUAGCAUGAAGUCGGGAAAUUAGAUACUACAUGCAAAUUAACUUCCCAUCUAUCUUGAUCAAUGUCCUUAUGAUCCUUGAAUUGGUGCGUAUACCAUAGAAGUUUAUCCCAACAAUAUUCACUUGGAAAAUAACACUACCUGAUUAGCAAAUGAGUCGUCUCUAUCAUUGUGUUGGAGCAAACAUGCUUCCCUAAAAUAAUAUCAUGUCUUUGGAAAGUUCAUCAAAUGCAGCUAGAGAUUGUACUAACAUUGAAGCAAUGUGUCAAUGUCAUGUCCUAGUGGUGAACCUCCCAGUAUUCUUGUCUACUGUUACAUGUUUUCUUCAUAUAAAACAUACUUUCUCCACGGCAAAGGUCAAAUAAUAUGGAGACCAUAAUGGAAGCUUUCCCGUCCACUGAUACACGUACUAUGAAGAAUGAGAUGAAUAUAUUCUCUAAUCUCCUGAAUAAACCAUGAUAUUAUCCCUAUAACACAAAAGACAAUAGAAAAGUUGUAUAAACAUUUACUUAUGACCCACGAGCAAGGCGGAGAAGUGCAUAUCCAUCUUAUUAUGAUGUAUGAAGCAAUAUAAUCAUUGUCGACUUAGAAUCAAUAUAAAUGCAGAUAGCUUACACCUAGAUGAAAUCAAUUAGUAGUUCAACGUACACAAAUGCAGAACACUUGAGGACAAACAUAAUCAGCAUGGAUUAAUUUAUUUGGAUUCAUAACCAAAAUACAUAAGCAACAGAACACACGUAGAUAUAAGACCCAGCACAGCUUAGUGAAAGGAGAUGAGUGGCAACUACAAAAAAAUAUAAUAAAAUGCUUGGAACUUCAAGUGAGUACAUACCAUAGAUAACACGUGCUGCUGAUGAUAUAUUCUAUAUCUACUUUUCUCUAGAAAGGAGUAAAUCUUGGGCGGAACAUCCAUCCAUCCAGAUAAAAUAGUCAAUAGAGGACUAACAUCCUGAUGACCAAAGUCCAAUGGUGAGUUGGGGUGUGACGACCAAUUUGAUGUUGGGUGAUUACUACCAAACACAGAAUAGACACCAAUCGCCAGUGCCACCGAUCGGGAUAGGAUGCAAGGGUUCACUUUCAUAAUUUUGAAACCACGCACGCAAAGAAAAAACUCUAAAUCUGGAUUCCCAACUUAUAAACAGAGGGUCCUCCCACCUUCCACAUGAGCGAUGACGGGCUGAUGGCACCGCCGUCGACUUCUCUGCACAGUACCUGCAAAACAAAAGAGAGGCGAAUCCCAGAUCCUUUUACUUCUCGUGUGGUGCUGCAGUGCCUACUAAUUAAUCAAUCAAGCAGCUACAUGUAGUGGAGCCGUGGAGUUGCGCUUGGAUGAUUGGAUUAGCUAUGUACGUACCUAGCUGGAUUGAAGCUGCUGACCUUCUCGAGCAUGACGUAGGACAUGUCCUUGAGCCUCUUGACUUUCGGCGCGUCCAUAGCCUGGAUCUGCGGCGACGGG
rnacentral:lncRNA from 1 species